rnacentral:rRNA from 1 species
GAUGAACGCUGGCGGCGUGCCUAAUACAUGCAAGUCGAGCGAACAGACGAGGUGCUUGCUCCUCUGACGUUAGCGGCGGACGGGUGAGUAACACGUGGAUAACCUACCUAUAAGACUGGGAUAACUUCGGGAAACCGGAGCUAAUACCGGAUAAUAUAUUGAACCGCAUGGUUCAAUAGUGAAAGACGGUUUUGCUGUCACUUAUAGAUGGAUCCGCGCCGCAUUAGCUAGUUGGUAAGGUAACGGCUUACCAAGGCGACGAUGCGUAGCCGACCUGAGAGGGUGAUCGGCCACACUGGAACUGAGACACGGUCCAGACUCCUACGGGAGGCAGCAGUAGGGAAUCUUCCGCAAUGGGCGAAAGCCUGACGGAGCAACGCCGCGUGAGUGAUGAAGGUCUUCGGAUCGUAAAACUCUGUUAUUAGGGAAGAACAAAUGUGUAAGUAACUAUGCACGUCUUGACGGUACCUAAUCAGAAAGCCACGGCUAACUACGUG